UUUCCUUAAUUUUCUCUUCUAAACACUCCCCUUGGAGUCCAUCUUCACACCACUUUCAACCUUCUAGAAGGCCAACAUUAAACUUCUAAAAACACUAAGCUAGGAUUUGAACCUUAGAUCUCCUUGCUAGCUACUAACGCCACCUCUCUACACUCUAAGUGGAGUCACUUAGCCACUCUUACACAAGGCUUUUUGAUGCCAUUUUCCCUUAUCUUUAUGUAAAAGCCCAACUACUUGCCAACAAGGUCCUUUUAAUUAUUAAACUAUAAUUUCUUCU
rnacentral:lncRNA from 1 species